UGUCUGCACUCUGCUGGAUACACAUGAGAGGUAUAAGAUUCCUUCCCUCUGGUGAGGUGCAAAGGCGUGAACAAGAUGGUUUUCCGGGUGUCAUGUGAGAAGCAUUGAUCUACGAUCUGUUCCCCUUCCUGCUUCCUCUUCUCCCUUUUGCCCAUGUUCUGGUGCUAUCCAGAAGGAAAAGACUUUCUGAAGUGCUUCAUUCGUUAAGGGCACCGUUCUCACAAAGGAUCUUUCCCCUGCAAGAUGUCCACCAGCAGAUCCAGAUUUACAUUGUACCAGCUUAGCAAACCCGGUAGAAAGGAAACAUCUUUUCCCAGUAGUUCCUGAAGAAGUUCUCAGACAUGGGCCACAUGUGUAGCCCUGAAUCAAUCACUGUGGCCAGGAUGAUGGAGUCUUCUCUUCGUUGAGUCCUGGUCAAAUGUUCUCCUUGAGUACUAGGACCAUGAAGUAGGCUCUGCCCAAAUUGCAUCAACUAAGAUGUGAUCCUGCAGGAAAAAUAAAGGUGAUAAUGGCAUAAGACAAAGGAAUGGAUACUGAGCAGGCAGAAGCAACAGAUGGCCACUACAAUUAUGAAGUAUAUCAUAGGAGCACAUGGGAGAAGCAGUCAAAUUCCCUGAUCCCUCAUGGUGUCUUUUUACACAGAAAUUGCCACAUCUGGUUGUGUUUGGUUUAUCCAUGGUUUGGAAUGAGUCAGGAAAUCACAAGCAGUUGUGCUUGAACUUUGUAAACUACAGAACCACUAGGAUAGUGCUGAAAAUCUGUUUCCCUUCUCUCUCUGCACCUCAGACCUGUGAGAGCAGCUCUAGGCAUUGCUUUGCCCCUCUGAAGGCUCACAAGCCUGAGGCAGCCUGGAGCCCUGCCCAGAAGACACCCUGUUAAACAUAGAGAUGAAGUUAUCACUGGCUUGGCAAAUUCUUCUCUGGCUGUUUUAUGAUAAUACCAUCAGCCAAGGAGAUGAAGCAAGGCAUGGCGCUUCAGAACAAUGAAGCCCCUUGGUGGAACAGCAUAGACCUUGGAAAAAAGAAGUUUGAGACCCGUUGGGGGAAGUCACUGUGAUUUUGAAGGUGUUUCACUCAGGAAAGGAGCCUGUGAUUUGUGAAGCAAGACUAAUCUGCUUGUGGGAAGCUGCAGCAUGAAAUGAGACAAGGUGUGAUAACCUGUCAAGUUCCAAAGAGAGAUGAUUUAGGAGGAGAUAGCGGCUUGAAAACGUGAGGAUGGGUGUUACUAACUUAAUCCAUAUGAUGCCUUCAAAACAAAAAGUAUAUUAGGGGUGAAAGGCAUGGAACAGACAUUAUUCAUUGUCUCCAGGUGAUAUUUCUCUUGUGAGUUUACAAGCAAGUGUUGGCAUGCUGUGUGCAGACAUUUGUACAAUAGAUUACAGCACCCAGAUCGCCUCAGAUGAAAAGUAGGGGAGACACCUUUGACUUUUUCCCUUCCCUGGUCUAAUUUAUCUAUCUCAUUUAUUCCAGACAAGGGCUCCUUUACUUUGUGAAAAUUAGAGACAUCUGUAGUUAUACAACCUGAGUUGAGGACAAUCAAAGCUCACGCUGCCAGGUGUGAACAGAUUGCUUGUAGGGUCAGGAAGGUGCCUCUUUUCCUUCUCCUCCUCCUCCUUUCAUGGGCACCAUCCACAAUCAGGAGAUGUUUUCCAGGAGUGAGUGGGGAGGGAGGGAAGAGGAAUCCGUAUUCUGGUGGGAGCAGCAGAUGCUGAAUCGACCAGGAUGACUCAUACAAAUGGAAAUGUGCUUCCAAUUCCGCAAGACAAGUCCACAGACCCUCCUGCUAAUCUUGGGGCUCAGGGUGAUACCACAAAGGGGAGUACAGCUCCCUGAAUGGCUCCAUAUUUGGGUAAUGUUCCAACUGCAACAACUCACUUCCACUAGAAUAUUCACCUCCAUCCCCCAGACUGGGAAAAGACCUUCCAAAUUUCGGGGGCAGAUCCUCAGAAGGGUCUAGCUCUCCUAGGAAGAUGUGAGAUUUCUAAUUAGAAAUGAGGAUGAGGUUCUAUGAUGAUGCUCAUACAAUUUUCAUUUUGAGUUUGAAAUUUUACUUAUUAAUUAAAUUUAAAAAUUGACACAC